AAAAGUUGGUAGGCGGAACCUAACGCCUGAUUGGUUACCCUCUGCAUCAAGCCAAGACAAAUCAAUUCCGGAUAAUGGAUUGAUGCAGAGCUACUGAACACAUUCCAAUACACUGGGUGGCGCUAUUCACCUCUACGUUGGUUUAGUUACACGGUUAAACAGAACUUUCAUUGCAACGGCUAAAAAUCAAGAGAAGACUCGGUCCUGCUAGCCCCAAUGUUGAGACGCUGUGUGAGGUGCAGGACAAAAUGUCUAAAAGUUGCCCGGAGCUGCUGAGAGAAGCAGCGAAUUUGAUUGAGGAAGCUCUGAGCAGAAGUCCAACGGCUCCCGCGGCACCGGUGACUCCGGCAGCUCAGUCACAGCAGAUACCGGCCGCUCAAUCACGUACACCUGUCCAAGCGGAGGUAGCAAGGCUCUUUGCGCCAUAUAACAUUGGAGCCAGAAGGAAUAUGACGAGACGACCAGCACAAGUCCAAGUUAGCCGAAGAAGCUACACACACACUGUCUGUUGUUUGGCUGACCACAAUGCGGAUAAAAUUCCAAGCGUACUGUUUAAAGCUGAACUUCUUACUUCAGGACUUGGAGAGCAAAAAGUAACAUUUUCAGGGAAUGACCACGAUCCCAUGGUUAUAACAAAUAAACUGAUGGAAGUGUUUCCGAAGCUCCAACAAGGGGGAGGCUUUGAAUUUCUAAAACUUGUAGGAUCUACUCGCAGUCGAAAUCUUGCGUUGCUUCAGUGUCCCAGCACUGGAUA